rnacentral:rRNA from 1 species
GUCAAUGGGCGCAAGCCUGAACCAGCCAUGCCGCGUGCAGGAAGACGGCCCUAUGGGUUGUAAACUGCUUUUGUCAGGGAAUAAACCUCCGCUCGUGAGCGGGGCUGAAGGUACCUGAAGAAUGAGCAUCGGCUAACUCCGUGCCAGCAGCCGCGGUAAUACGGAGGAUGCAAGCGUUUUCCGGUUUCAUUGGGUUUAAAGGGUGCGCAGGCGGAUUUGUAAGUCAGUGGUGAAAUCCAACAGCUAAACUGUGGAACUGGCUUUGAUACUGUCAGUCUAGAGUAUAGUUGAUGUGGGCGGCAUGUGUCAGGUAGCGGUGUAAAGCUUAGAUAUGACACAGAACACCGAUAGCGAAAGCAGAUCGCUAAGCUAUAACUGACGCUCAUGCACGAAAGCGUGGGGA